rnacentral:rRNA from 1 species
AGCAGCCGCGGUAAUUCCAGCUCCAAUAGCGUAUAUUAAAGUUGUUGCAGUUAAAAAAGCUCGUAGUUGAAUUUCGAGGUUAGUAAGUUGGUCGUGCCACUGGUAUGCACUGGCUUUACUGAUUCCUCCCUCUUGACGAACCGUAAUGCCAUUAAUUUGGUGUUGCGGGGAAAUCAGGACUGUUACUUUGAAAAAAUUAGAGUGUUUAAAGCAGGCUUACGCUUGAAUACAUUAGCAUGGAAUAAUGAAAUAGGACGUUCGAUCCUAUUUUGUUGGUUUCUAGGAUUGACGUAAUGAUUAAUAGGGAUAGUUGGGGGGCAUUAGUAUUCAAUUGUCAGAGGUGAAAUUCUUGGAUUUAUUGAAGACUAACUACUGCGAAAGCAUUUGCCAAGGAUGUUUUCAUUAAUCAAGAACGAAAGUUAGGGGAUCGAAGACGAUCAGAUACCGUCG